rnacentral:rRNA from 2 species
AGGAGAUGUUAGUUUAUUCGAAGCAUUGAAUUUAAGCCCCAGUAAACGGCGGCCGUAACUAUAACGGUCCUAAGGUAGCGAAAUUCCUUGUCGGGUAAGUUCCGACCCGCACGAAUGGUGUAACGAUUUGGACGCUGUCUCAACGUGGAGCUCGGUGAAAUUGAAGUAUCGGUGAAGAUGCCGAUUACUUGUGGUUAGACGGAAAGACCCCGUGAACCUUUACUAUAGCUUGGUAUUGAGAUUUGAUUAAAUAUGUGUAGGAUAGGUGGGAGACUUUGAAGCUAUCUCGUUAGGGGUAGUGGAGUCAAUCUUGAAAUACCACCCUUGUUUAAUUAGGUUUCUAACUUAUAGAAAUAUGAGGAGAGUGCCAGGUGGGUAGUUUGACUGGGGCGGUCGCCUCCUAAAGAGUAACGGAGGUGCGCAAAGGUUACCUUAGAGUGGUUGGAAAUCACUUUGUAAGUGUAAAGGCAUAAGGUAGCUUAACUGUAAGACUGACAAGUCGAACAGAUACGAAAGUAGGUCUUAGUGAUCUGGCGGUGGCAAGUGGAAGCGCCGUCACUUAACGAAUAAAAGGUACUCCGGGGAUAACAG